rnacentral:tRNA from 1 species
CGGGGCGUGGCGCAGCCUGGUAGCGCAACUGCUUUGGGAGCAGUGGGACGUAGGUUCGAAUCCUAUCGCCCCGACCA